UUCAUUAAUAGUCUGUUUUCUUUUCAAGGCAAAGUUUCUUUUCUUUUAUCGUACUGGUCGGUGACUUGAGUUCAUAUUUAAUUGAUGAACAAUGAUAUCAGAAUGGAUACUUGGCAUGUCCGAUGCCGACCAGACGAAGAUGUCCUUGUUGGUUUGAAGGAAGGUCAUCAACUAGUCUCGAUUGCUGAUUGUGAGUUGGAAGUCAACCCGAAUUAUUCUGGUCAGAUCAUCUCCAAAAGGAAAGAUAAUGAACUCCUCAGUCGGC
rnacentral:lncRNA from 1 species